UACGGAGGGGGCUAGCGUUGUUCGGAAUUACUGGGCGUAAAGCGCACGUAGGCGGUCUUUUAAGUCGGGGGUGAAAUCCUGGAGCUCAACUCCAGAACUGCCUUCGAUACUGGAAGACUUGAGUCCGGGAGAGGUGAGUGGAACUGCGAGUGUAGAGGUGAAAUGCGCAGAUAUCGGGAGGAACACCGGUGGCGAAGGCGGUUCUCUGGGCCUUACCUGACGCUGAGGAGCGAAAGCGUGGGGAGCGAACAGG
rnacentral:rRNA from 1 species